GGGGUUGUGGCUCAGAGGUAGAGCACUUGCCUAGUAUGCAUGAAGCACUGGGUUCGAUCCUCAGCACCACA
rnacentral:tRNA from 1 species